AGAAACCUGGGAAUUCAGAAAAAAUGGAAGAGCUUUCAAAAGAGAAUAAUAACAUAACCAGGGCAGACAUCAGUGUUUCUGAGCAGUCUGCAGAGAACUCUGGAAGGGAGCAUGAGGCUCUGACUUGCAGCUCUUUGGACAUUGGCUCCAGCAUCCCAGACUUCAGGGAGCACAUCAGCCAGAUUUUUAAAAAGUCUGUCCACAGCACACUGAGUGCUGAAUUACCCCAGCUUUUGACUGAAAACCAUGCAGGCUUCAAGCAGAGCCCAGUGGCCAAGGACACAGCAGGACUCUGUGGUGCUGAGAACUUUUCAGAGCCAAACAAGGCGGGCGAAGGAGCUCCCGAGGGCACCUCAGAAGCAGAGGGGCAAGAGUUGUCUUUAGCUACUGAGAUUUCCUGCGAAGCUGCCCAGGGCAAACCUCUGCAACAAGAAAAGACAGGGGCACAGCUGCCACCAGCAAGUCUCCAGGACCCUGAGGAAAGCAGGCAGCCCUCUGGCUGUUCAGAAGUGGUCCCUGGCUUGGAUGGCGCUCCAUCUGCCGAACAAGCCGCGGAAAAUCUGCGUAAAGCCAGGCAAACCCACUGAGAGCAGUGAGAUGGAAAGAGAGGAGGGCGUGUGUGCUGGUGGCGUUGAUCCUGAAUCACUAAUAAGCUUAGAGAUAAAGAAGCAAGGACCAGCUCCAUUUGAUGGGGCAGCAGCUGAGAACUUCCCUGCGUGUUCGAGAGCCAGCAGCAACCCACUGGAGCUGUUAUCUCUGCAGGCGAUGGGCAGGGCAGGGACGUAGAAGAUGCUGCUGCCACAGAGGGAAAUAACUUAAUUACAGAGUGCAAUGCACAGCCAGCUCCCUCUGAAGAGGAUGUAAGUCUUCCUGCUGCACAGUGCCAGGAUCCUAAGCCAAAUGAACAGGAGAAAAGCGAGUACGGUGAUGCAGAGGUUGCCCGGAGCAGCUCUGACAUGGCAGCUCCAACGCUCGUCCCGGGAGGAUCUUACAGCCAUGAAGAAUUGCCAGACAGUUUCAGGGUGCCACCUGAGGAAAAUCAGGGGGCAAACAUUCACAGCAAUUCUGUGCAUGACAUUAGGUCUCAGAGUGACAUGCAGUUGAUACAGGAUGAAGCAGUAAAUAGGAAACGCUUGGAAACAUCGGGGAAUUCUCAAGAUGCACAGCAAGAAAAGAACGUGACCAUGCAUGGGUUAAUAGAUUACUUAAAAACUGAAGUAAGCCAGGAUGAUUGCUUGCAAACUGCCUGUAAACUAGAAUCUGGCAGCAUGACUGAGGGAGAGGUGAAAGAGAGCAGUGACACAGUGUUAAGCUCAGCAAGAACAGGUAAUCAAAAAAUUCAGAGAGACAUCCCUGAAACUGGUACUGCAAGGAUGUUAGUCACUGCUGAGGGAAACCUAGCUAUAAACACCAGCACUGAGGAGCAGGAGGCACACCUGUACAGAAAUCACUCUCCAGCCCUCCCUGUGAUGGAGCAGGGGGAGCAUUCUGCAUGCGCAGGUGUUGCUGUUGCUGAAAAUCAGCCAAGCAAGAUGAAUUCAGAGCAUGAAAUCUCCCUCGAGGAUGCCAAAGGAAAGCUAUCACCACUGGCAUUAACUGAGCCUAAGAACCUUGACCUCAGUGAACCUCAAGAUAUGGCUGUGGCAGGAUUACCCACUGAAAGCCCUCCUGGACCAGGUGAUGAUAAUCAGUUGGCUUCUCCCCUGGAUCCCUGUGAGCAUCCCUCAGCUGUGUGUGCAGCCUCUGGCAAUGCUGUCCCCGUGGGAGCUGCUGAGCUGACUGCAGCCAGCACUUCCAAGCCUGAUAGCUGCAAGGGAGUUGAUAACCACGUUUCUGAGGAUGUACCUUUGGCUGUGGCCCCUGGUGAUGGUGUAGAGCUGCCUGCUGAAGAAACCAAAGGUUUCACAAGGGAAAUAAAAAGGAGCUCUGACUCUGAAGAAGCAUUUGAGACCCCAGAGUCCACUACACCUGUCAAGGCACCACCUUCACCUCCACAGCCUCCCCCUGAAGCAGCAGCAGCAGCAGCAGAAGUUGUUGCAGACGUAGCAGAGCAAGAAACAAAACCUCAGCUGUCUGUGGAAGAUACAGGUAAAGAGUGGGACACGUUACUGGGGGAGGUGAAUAUGCAGGGAGCUGUUUCUCUAAGCACUGGCAAGGAAUUAAUGCUAAUAAAUGGGCUUCUGGAGUAUUAAUUAAUUACCCAUGCAGAGAGGAAAAAACCCUGUUGCCUCCUAGAAUAAAGUAAUGGAGAAUCUGUCCAUAACAUUUGAAGAAUAUUAAAGAAAGAGGUGCUCUCUAGUAAAAACUUUCUUCCUUUUGAACCAAGCUUCUUUUUCUAGGAUCUUUACAGAGUCAGUUGAGUAGAAAAAAGAGAUGUGGGUUGCAGAUGCAGGUACCUGAGUGAGCACUGUUAACUGUGACAAUUAACAAAAUGCCAUUUUCAAAUGUGUUACUGGAACAGGAGGUAGUAAAAAAACAGAAAUACUGAUUUUAUAGGAGGAACAUGGAGCUAUGUAUGUAUGUGUGGUAUACAUACGUGAAAAUUGGUACAUACUGGGAAACUAGAAUCUUUGAAAAGGUAGAAAUGUGUUUAAAACCCAAAGAAAUUCUUUUCCCCCAAAAGUGUUCUUUGUUCUCCAGAUUGAGUAAUGGAAUAUGAGGGAGUAGAAAGCAUGCUGUUAGCCCAAAAUAGCUUUGUUUGGGCUGUCAGAUGACAGCUCAACAGCUUGAGACUGAAUUCCCCAUUAUACUGUCUUUUUUCCAUCUGAAACUCAAGUCAUCUUGAUCACCUGGCUAAAUUGUAUGCAGAUAAUAUUUUUCCCAGCAGUCUAAAGCUGCUAAACACUUGUAUUGUGUUUGGAAAGAGUUGUAGCAUCCCACCAAAGGGAGUUACUCAUUAAGCAGUGCUGUUCAGGAUCUUGAUUUAUGAUAGGUUUUUAAGAAGCUUCAAGGAUUUUCUACAAACUGAUUUGGCAAAAUAAAAAGUAGAUACUGAGGCACCCUGAUGCUUUUUCCUUUCUGCUGUUAGAGUUCCCUCGUCAUUGUAGCAAAAGUUAUUCUGCAUCUUCUUUCCUUUUUUCAAAUCUUUGGCAAUCCAAUGAUUACAAAAUAAGUGCUCAGAGAACAAAAGAACACACAGGGUUGGAGUAUGCUUUUAAUUACUUCAGUAGAUUAUCUUCAAGCCCUUGGUUACACAUGUGCUUCCCUGGCACAUGUGAUUCUUGUCUCCUUCCAUCCCAGUUCCCCCUCCUUUUUUUUUUAAGAUCUUUCUGAAGAAAAGUAGGAAAUUGAAUAUAGCUAUUCACAGCCAGUGUGAACUUUAUUGGAGGCCAUUGGAUGGUAGAGGGGAAACCAGUUCAUUUGCAAAUCAGAUUGUCCAUGGGAGGCAAGUUACAGCAGAAUGACAGAGAUCUGUUCAGUGAUCCAGAAUGAUACAAAACACAGUUAUACAUCAGGGGAAUUUAUUGGAGGGGAAGAAGAUGCGUAAUGUGGAAAAAAUCCAAAUGUAGGAGGGCAGCACAAAGCAUUCAUUUGUUUUGGAAAUCUUUAGAAGAAAUAAAUAAUGGUAAGACUAUAGGUGUUUAGAAAUGAGAAAAGUUAAACAUUUUGUACUGUAUAAACCACUUGAGUGUCUUGCAGUUUAUUUAUUUCAUAAGUUACGCAUGUGUCUGCACACAAAGAGAAUUGUGACCCCUUCCUUGGGGCUCAGGGGCAUUGAAGCAGAGCUCCUGGAUGGCACCAUACAGCUAAAAAUCCAGGUUUCACUAGAGGAGGAGUGAGGAAUAUGGGCAGCUGGAGAGCCUGGCACAGGGAGAGGCAGCAGUGUCCUGCUGGGCUCCUGGUUCAGCAGCCACAUGGCUUUGUCUUCACAUGGGAUGGGUGACAGAGCGUGUUUGGGUGGAAGGAGGGAGCACAGUAAGUGUUUAAAAGAUUCUUUCAUCUCUAGCUGACAAUAAGUGCUUAUGCAGAUGGCUGCAGUUGUGUUGCAUGAUAUCAUUAGCACAGCAGCUGGACCCCACUGCUGCAAAGGCAAGAGGAGAGGUUUUAAUUAGGUUGACUUCAGUGGUCCUUUAGUAAAUAUGAUGAAAGUGAAAUAAGCUGGACUGGUGCUGGGUUUGUGCCAGCUCCUGGUGGGGUAAAACCUGCUGCAUGGCUCUGGUCCAUCAGCAGCAGAGCAGAGGAGGGGAGUCAGUCUGAGGGCAAGUCUGGAGGGGAAGAGGAGUAACAGAGCAAGUGUGGAAACUACCCCUGAGCCCCAGGAAUUGCCACCAGUGAGCCCUUCCAUUCCUCCCUAAAUAAUGCUGGGAAACAUGGGUUAUAAUCUAAUUGGAGUGUUUGAGGUUGCAGUUGUUAUUGUCAUUAUUUUAAAUUAUUGUUACUUGUCUCCUCAGCUUCCCAUAACAGUGUCCUCUUGUCCCUUGUUUCAUCCAUCUGAGCACCAGAAUGUCCCCAAGCCCAUUCUCCCAAAUACUCUGGUUUUGGCCAGGAAUUCCUUCCUAGGAGCUUUCUGUCACCCCCACUGCCUUCCCCAGAUGAUUACUGAAUUCAGGUUGUAUUCACAAGGGAGAGUGAGAGUUGGACUCCCCUGUGUGCAUUACAGCCCAACAAUCAGGAUAUGGGGCAGAUCCUAUUUUUGAGUCCUUCUGGUGCCAGGGAAAUUCAAGGUCAGGCUUUCCAACAGAGACAUUAUGGUCCAGACAAAAACAAACUAAAUUUUUUGUACGGACAGCAUUCUUCCUCAGUGUUUUUCCUCUUGAAGCCUGAUAUGGAAAAUUUGAGAAGAAACUUUUAUAUACAAUGUUAGAGUACCUCUUAGAAUAAAUGACAAAAGUAUUUUUACAGAACUUUAAACAAGUGGUACUAAUUGAUUUUCUGACAUCAAAGGGUUUCCAUAACAAGAAGGAACUUGAAGUAAACCAUGUUUCAAAAUUUCUAGUGUAAGGCAAUUCCAAUUCCUGUAUGCUUUUGGCAUUUUUCCCUCAUAAUAUAGUAACUGGG
rnacentral:lncRNA from 14 species